AAGGUUCGAUUCGAGCGCAGCGAGAAAGCGUUGCCGCAGGCAACGACCCGAAGGGCGAAGCGCGCUGCGCUGAGUCAUCCUUCCCCCACCACCA
rnacentral:sRNA from 1 species